rnacentral:sRNA from 1 species
UCACUAAAAUGUUUAAACUAAAAGAUCAUUUGUGGAAGCUCCCUUGGGCCAAUGGUUGACCAAAGGUUCAUUAAUGCUUCUACAGCAAGACGUCUGGGGUUCGAGUCCCAACUACUGCGAUUUAUUAGUAGAUUUGCAAAUUAAUGGAGGCAAGUGUGCAGGAGAUCUACAACGAUGUACAAUUAUGGAUCUAAUAAGAAAAAAAAAAACUAAAAGAUCAUUCAGUAGUAUACUUGAUUGGAUCAAGGUUGCGAGAUUUUAAU